AGAGUUUGAUCCUGGCUCAGGAUGAACGCUAGCGGCAGGCUUAACACAUGCAAGUCGAGGGGCAGCGGGGAGGAAGCUUGCUUUCUCCGCCGGCGACCGGCGCACGGGUGAGUAACACGUAUGCAACCUGCCCCUGUCAGGGGGACAACCCGCCGAAAGGCGGGCUAAACCCGCGUACAUGCCACCGGGGCAUCCCGGAGGCAGGAAAGGCUUCGGCCGGACAGGGAUGGGCAUGCGGCGCAUUAGGCAGUAGGCGGGGUAACGGCCCACCUAACCGACGAUGCGUAGGGGUUCUGAGAGGAAGGUCCCCCACACUGGUACUGAGACACGGACCAGACUCCUACGGGAGGCAGCAGUGAGGAAUAUUGGUCAAUGGUCGGGAGACUGAACCAGCCAAGCCGCGUGAGGGAGGAAGGUACAGAGUAUCGUAAACCUCUUUUGUCAGGGAACAAAGACUGGGACGCGUCCCCGGAUGAGUGUACCUGAAGAAAAAGCAUCGGCUAACUCCGUGCCAGCAGCCGCGGUAAUACGGAGGAUGCGAGCGUUAUCCGGAUUUAUUGGGUUUAAAGGGUGCGCAGGCGGUCUGUUAAGUCAGCGGUCAAAGCCCGGGGCUCAACCCCGGCCCGCCGUUGAAACUGGCAGUCUCGAGUUGGAGAGAAGUAUGCGGAAUGCGCGGUGUAGCGGUGAAAUGCAUAGAUAUCGCGCAGAACUCCGAUUGCGAAGGCAGCAUGCCGGCUCCACACUGACGCUGAGGCACGAAAGCGUGGGUAUCGAACAGGAUUAGAUACCCUGGUAGUCCACGCAGUAAACGAUGAAUGCUGGCUGUCCGGGGGGACUGACCCCUGGGUGGCGAAGCGAAAGUGAUAAGCAUUCCACCUGGGGAGUACGCCGGCAACGGUGAAACUCAAAGGAAUUGACGGGGGCCCGCACAAGCGGAGGAACAUGUGGUUUAAUUCGAUGAUACGCGAGGAACCUUACCCGGGCUCAAACGGGGAGUGCCGCAGGCAGAGACGCCUGUUUCCCACGGGACACUCCCCGAGGUGCUGCAUGGUUGUCGUCAGCUCGUGCCGUGAGGUGUCGGCUUAAGUGCCAUAACGAGCGCAACCCCCGCGUGCAGUUGCUAACAGAUAACGCUGAGGACUCUGCACGGACUGCCGGCGCAAGCCGCGAGGAAGGCGGGGAUGACGUCAAAUCAGCACGGCCCUUACGUCCGGGGCGACACACGUGUUACAAUGGGUGGUACAGCGGGAAGCCAGGCGGCGACGCCGAGCGGAACCCGAAAUCCACUCUCAGUUCGGAUCGGAGUCUGCAACCCGACUCCGUGAAGCUGGAUUCGCUAGUAAUCGCGCAUCAGCCAUGGCGCGGUGAAUACGUUCCCGGGCCUUGCACACACAGCCCGUCA
rnacentral:rRNA from 1 species